rnacentral:rRNA from 1 species
AUACGUAGGUGACAAGCGUUAUCCGGAUUUACUGGGCGUAAAGGGCGUGUAGGCGGUCUUGCAAGUCAGAAGUGAAAUUCCUGAGCUCAACUCGGGCGCUGCUUCUGAAACUGCAGGACUUGAGUGCUGGAGGGGAUAGCGGAAUUCCUAGUGGAGCGGUAAAAUGCGCAGAUAUUAGGAAGAACACCGGUGGCGAAGGCGGCUAUCUGGACAGUAACUGACGCUGAGGCGCGAAAGCGUGGGGAGCAAACAGGAUUAGAUACCCUGGUAGUCCCGGCCGUAAACGAUGGGUACUAGGUGUGGGAGGUAUCGACUCCUUCCGUGCCGGAGUUAACGCAAUAAGUACCCCGCCUGGGGAGUACGGCCGCAAGGCUUAAACUCAAAGGAAUUGACGGGG